rnacentral:misc_RNA from 1 species
GGACUCAGUAAUAUGCUUUGGAAACGAAGCUUACAAAAUGGAGUCC